UAUAGGGCAGUGGCGCAGA
rnacentral:misc_RNA from 1 species